rnacentral:rRNA from 1 species
ACCCGCUGAACUUAAGCAUAUCAAUAAGCGGAGGAAAAGAAACCAACAGGGAUUGCCCUAGUAACGGCGAGUGAAGCGGCAACAGCUCAAAUUUGAAAUCUGGCUCCUCUUGGGGGUCCGAGUUGUAAUUUGCAGAGGGUGCUUUGGCGUUGGCAGCGGUCUAAGUUCCUUGGAACAGGACGUCGCAGAGGGUGAGAAUCCCGUACGUGGCCGCCUGCCUUGGCCGUGUAAAGCCCCUUCGACGAGUCGAGUUGUUUGGGAAUGCAGCUCUAAUUGGGAGGUAAAUUUCUUCUAAAGCUAAAUACUGGCCAGAGACCGAUAGCGCACAAGUAGAGCGAUCGAAAGAUGAAAAGCACUUUGGAAAGAGAGUUAAAAAGCACGUGAAAUUGUUGAAAGGGAAGCGCUUGCAGCCAGACUUGCCUGUAGUUGCUCAUCCGGGUUUCUACCCGGUGCACUCUUCUAUAGGCAGGCCAGCAUCAGUUUGGGCGGUUGGAUAAAGGUCUCUGUCAUGUACCUCUCUUCGGGGAGAACUUAUAGGGGAGACGACAUGCAACCAGCCUGGACUGAGGUCCGCGCAUCUGCUAGGAUGCUGGCGUAAUGGCUGU